AUGCUGAUUGCUUUAAUCUCAACUCUGCUGCGCCUGUUUUCCAAAUUGAGUAUUAUAGUACAUUAUUUUCCGUAUUUGCUCUCUGUCGUGUUGUUUAUCCUCUCCGGGCCCUGGUUUCAGAUCAUUAUGGUACUGUGUGUUGUAGCAAUGGCUUAUGAGACGAUGAAAUAUGUGGUCAUAACUCUAACUUGUUAUUUGUAUUCAGUAACAUCGUCGACUCUGUACUUUGGAAACUGUAUCUUGGAAACUACUAGCAAUUAUACCUAUUGUUUUUUUCCAUUAGGGAGUCAAUCUGUGGAGGGGAAAGGCGAGGAUAUUUUUCCUUACUUGCUUACUCUCCCUUUCUCCUUCACCACCCCUGUAUCCUCCUGGAUCACUCUGCCUUCCUCCUUCACCACCCUCUUAUCCCCUGAGCUUGUCACAAUAGCUCUCCAAGAUAUUGAAUAUUCUUGGGAUACUCGGACCACCAUAGUCUUGUUGUUCUGCCUCCUGAAUACACUUCAGGUUCUGCUUAAAGUUAAACAAUUACUUAGGAAGCUCAUCCGGAGAUCUGCCCGGAGGCAGGAUAGUUGUGGGUGGCAGGGAGUAUGGGUGGAUAUGGGCAGGCAUCUAGAGCAGUUGGCACCCCCAGUGUGUUGGAAAUUCACCCCUGAACAAUGGCAAAAUCCUCAAAAACUGGCAGAAUGCUUGAAAAAAAGGUGUCAUGAUUCUGGCAGUUCCAAAGUAACACAAAUCAUUGUAACGUGCUGGGGCCUGGCUCAUGCCUAUCAAGCUGCCAUUGAUACUGCUAUCAACUUAGUGACAGACCCUGCGGCCACUCCAAGCCCUGUGACAGAUCCAACGGCCACUGUGACCCCUAUGGUGGACUCUGCAGCCGCUCCAGUCCCAGCUCCUGCAGCCGCUCCAGCUCCAGCUCCUGCAGCCGCUCCAGCUCCAGCUCCUACCGCUGCUCCAGUCCCAGCUCCUGCAACUGCUCCAGCUCCUGCAGCCGCUCCAGCUCCUGUGGCCGUGUCAGAGAAACGAGCUGUAGCAGUGCAAGUUGACCCUGCAGAGGGUAUUCCAACCCCUGUAACGGGGUCAGAGAAACGAGCUGUAGCAGUGCAAGUUGAUCCUGCAGAGGGUAUUCCAACCCCUGUGGCAGACCCUGUAACAAGGUCAGAGAAACGAGCUGUAGCAGUACAAGUUGACCCUGCAGAGGGUAUUCCAACCUCUGUGGCAGACCCUGUAACAAAGUCAGAGAAACGAGCAGUAGCAGUGCAAGCUGCCCCUGUAGAGAAGGUGAAAAAAUGGUAUAGAGAUUCAGGUCGUUUAGAACGCAGAGAGUCUUCUGCCAAUCCAGGUAAGGCUUCUGCCAAAACUAGGUAUAGAGAUGACGAAGAUGACGACGACGCUGGGCCAUCAAGGAUUCAGGAGGAGCAAGAUGAGGAUGUCGAAAAAUCAACAGUAACUACCCGAAGCCUAAAUGAGCGCGAGCUACGAGAUGUGCGAAAAGAUUUUGGUCGCUGUAUAGGUGAGCAGCUUGUCACCUGGCUGCUCCGGUGCUGGGACUCUGGAGCCAAUUGUGUGGAAUUAGACGGCAGGGAAGCCAAGCGGCUGGGAUCCCUUGCUCGAGACGCCGGCAUUGACAAAGCAAUUGCAGAUGGAGCACAAUGGACUAUCAUGGGCUUCACUUUCCAUUUCUCUCCCCCGUCCCAGAGAGGGAGGGGGGAGGGUGAGCGAAUGGCUGCGGGGUGUUUAACUGCCGGCCGGGUUAAACCACGACAUCCUGCAGAGUAA
rnacentral:lncRNA from 1 species